ACAACUGCAGCGAGAGAAGAGGCUGGCAGCAUGGGUGGCAGGAGGCUUGGCAGCCUCACAGGAUGCCUGCAAAUACCUUUCACUUAUGCAGUUUGGCAGUGCAGUGGUGCAUGGNGACAGCGUCUUGGGCCUGAUUACUUCUGUUGUCUNNNGUUUUCCUGUCACUGCCAUUUCUUCUUAAGUGGCUCACAUAACUAGACUGUGAAGAAGAGCUCCUAUCCAUAAGCCAACAACAAUACCUGCUCACUAUAAGCAUUCAGAAAACAGAAAAGUUUCAAGAAGCAGGAAGAAAAGACUCACCUAUGAUCCCAACACCCAGAGUACAGAAGCUUCUAUUCUGGAAUAGAACAGCUAGCAUACUACCAAGACUUUUCAAGGAGCAAGAAUGGAGCUCCCUGGAGAACUGACUGAACAUGGCUUCAGAGGCAGUAUCCAUAUAAGAGUCCUGAAGCUCAGAUGACACAGCUGAUAACAGGGAAGCCAGGACAGAAUCUCAUUGUUUUGAACACCAAAACCCGUUCCCUUGACAACUUGGCUAUACUACACUAUUCGAAUGUUGCAGAUACUGUGGUCACAUUUCAAAGGCCAGAUCUUUCCCAGGGCUUAAGCUGUUCCUUGGAUACUUUUGCUGAUGGUUUACACAUCUUCUUCCCACAUUAUAUUGUAACUUUCUU
rnacentral:antisense_RNA from 1 species